GGGGCUGAUAAAAAAACGUUACCCGCCGGAGUGGUGCAGGGACGUAGGAAUUUCGGACGCGGGUUCAACUCCCGCCAGCUCCACCA
rnacentral:tmRNA from 1 species